rnacentral:rRNA from 1 species
AGAGCCUGAGAAACGGCUACCACAUCCAAGGAUGGCAGCAGGCGCGCAAAUUACCCAAUCCCGACACGGGGAGGUAGUGACAAUAAAUAACAAUACGGGGUUCUUUCGGAUCUCGUAAUCGGAAUGAGUACAAUUUAAAUCUCUUAACGAGGAACAAUUGGAGGGCAAGUCUGGUGCCAGCAGCCGCGGUAAUUCCAGCUCCAAUAGCGUAUANNNAAGUUGUUGCAGUUAAAAAGCUCGUAGUUGAAUUUCGGGGUUAGUAGGUUGGUCAUGCCUCUGGUAUGUACUGGUCUCACUGAUUCCUCCUCCUUACGAACCGUAAUGCCAUUAAUUUGGUGUUGCGGGGAAUUUGGACUGUUACUUUGAAAAAAUUAGAGUGUUUAAAGCAAGCUAACGCUUGAAUACAUUAGCACGGAAUAAUGAAAUAGGACGUUCGAUCUUAUUUUGUUGGUUUCUAGGAUUGACGUAAUGAUUAAUAGGGAUAGUUGGGGGCAUUAGUAUUCAAUUGUCAGAGGUGAAAUUCUUGGAUUUAUUGAAGACUAACUACUGCGAAAGCAUUUGCCAAGGAUGUUUUCAUUAAUCAAGAACGAAAGUUAGGGGAUCGAAGACGAUCAGAUACCGUCGUAGUCUUAACCAUAAACUAUGCCGACUAGGGAUCGGAUGAUGUUAAUUUUUUAAUGACUCAUUCGGCGCCUUACGGGAAAC